ACUGAACGCUGGCGGCAUGCCUUACACAUGCAAGUCGAACGGCAGCACGGGAGCAAUCCUGGUGGCGAGUGGCGAACGGGUGAGUAAUAUAUCGGAACGUGCCCAGUCGUGGGGGAUAACGCAGCGAAAGCUGUGCUAAUACCGCAUACGAUCUACGGAUGAAAGCGGGGGAUCGCAAGACCUCGCGCGAUUGGAGCGGCCGAUAUCAGAUUAGCUAGUUGGUGGGGUAAAGGCCCACCAAGGCGACGAUCUGUAGCUGGUCUGAGAGGACGACCGGCCACACUGGAACUGAGACACGGUCCAGACUCCUACGGGAGGCAGCAGUGGGGAAUUUUGGGCAAUGGGCGCAAGCCUGAUCCAGCAAUGCCGCGUGCAGGAUGAAGGCCUUCGGGUUGUAAACUGCUUUUGUACGGAACGAAACGGCCCUUUCUAAUACAGGGGGCUAAUGACGGUACCGUAAGAAUAAGCACCGGCUAACUACGUGCCAGCCGCCGCAGUAACAC
rnacentral:rRNA from 1 species